GAUGAACGCUGGCGGCGUGCCUAAUACAUGCAAGUCGAGCGAAUGGAUUAAGAGCUUGCUCUUAUGAAGUUAGCGGCGGACGGGUGAGUAACACGUGGGUAACCUGCCCAUAAGACUGGGAUAACUCCGGGAAACCGGGGCUAAUACCGGAUAACAUUUUGAACCGCAUGGUUCGAAAUUGAAAGGCGGCUUCGGCUGUCACUUAUGGAUGGACCCGCGUCGCAUUAGCUAGUUGGUGAGGUAACGGCUCACCAAGGCAACGAUGCGUAGCCGACCGGAGAGGGGGAUCGGCCACACUGGGACUGAGACACGCCCCAGACUCCUACGGGAGGCAGCAGUAGUGAAUCUUCCGCAAUGGACGAAAGUCUGACGGAGCAACGCCGCGUGAGUGAUGAAGGCUUUCGAGUCGUAAAACUCUGUUGUUAGGGAAGAACAAGUGCUAGUUGAAUAAGCUGGCACCUUGACGGUACCUAACCAGAAAGCCACGGCUAACUACGUGCCAGCAGCCGCGGUAA
rnacentral:rRNA from 1 species